rnacentral:pre_miRNA from 1 species
GUACUACUUCCUCCGUUUGAAAUUAUUCAUCCAAGAAAUGAAUGUAUCUAGAUGUAUUUUAGUUGUAGAUACAUUCAUUUUUAUGACAAAUAAUUCCGAACAGAGGGAGUACAUU